rnacentral:rRNA from 1 species
CAGUAGCCACGGUAACACCGAGGAUGCAAGCGUUAUCCGGAAUGAUUGGGCGUAAAGCGUCUGUAGGUGGCUUUUCAAGUCCGCCGUCAAAUCCCAGGGCUCAACCCUGGACAGGCGGUGGAAACUACCAAGCUGGAGUACGGUUGGGGCAGAGGGAAUUUCCGGUGGAGCGGUGAAAUGCGUAGAGAUGUGGAGGAACACCAGUGGCGAAGGCGACUCUCUGGUCUGUAACUGACGCUGAGGAGCGAAAGCGUGGGGAGCGAACAGGAUUAGAUACCCCAGUAGUCCCUGUCUCUUAUAC